UCAACCAUCUUAGUCUGUUGCUAUCUGCACAUUUAGGCAAUCUCUCUCUUCACAUUCUGCUAUGACUGCAUUCAGCAUCAUGACUCUCAGAUUAAACAGAAUCACAUGUAGCAUAUUAGCAACCUGUGUUGUGCUGAUCAGUAAUUAAGGCUCUUUGUUACUGAGAACCUGAUUUCAUGGAAAAUUCAUAAGGAUUUAAAUGAUAAAGGGUCUUUGUUGGUCACUUAUACAUUACAGCACAGUGAAAUUAUUUUCUUUGUAUACCCCAGCAUGCCAGGAAGAUGGGGUCAGAGCACAAGGUCAGCCAUGAUACAGUGUCCCUGAAGCCCAACAGGGGCAGCUUGGUAGCACAGGGACUUGAACCCCUGACCAUCAGUAACCCAAAGCCUUAACCGCUGAGCCACCACUGCCCUUAAGCAAGAUCAGUUGUUUAAUUUUAUACAAGAAACUUAUUAUCAUCCACUCAUCUAUACACUGAGCAGCCUGUGGUUGUGGAUUUAAUACAUCCAUAGUGGUCAUGGACACUCCCUAUUCAAAUAGAGUCGGGUAUAAACAGCAUGUUCUUGGCUGUUUUAGUUUCCAGUGAGCUCUGUGAUAACACUCCCAUACACUUUAAAUCUGGGUGAAGCAGAACUCAGAAGGAUGAUUUUAGGACAUUGUAUUUUAUUUCUUCUCAUUUCAUAUUCUUAUGGACAGUCCCUGAUCUCCUCUGCUUCUGUGGUGAAGAGACCUGGAGAGUCAGUCACUCUGUCCUGUACUGUCUCCGGAUUCUCAAUGAGCAGCUACUACAUGAGCUGGAUCCGUCAGAAACCUGGAAGAGGACUGGAAUGGAUUGGAUACAUUGACACUGGCACUAGCACAACAUUCGCUCAGUCUCUGCAGGGCCAGUUCUCCAUCACUAAAGACACCAAUAAAAACAUGCUGUACCUAGAAGUGAAGAGUCUGAAAGCUGAAGACACGGCUGUUUAUUACUGUGCACGACACUCACACUGACACAACAGACUCCAGAGCUGUACAAAAACUUACACAAGCACAUCCUCAUGAGUUGUAAAUAUUCCCUCAGCAGGAAACUGAACCCCAGAGACAAUUUAUUAUAAACAACA